rnacentral:rRNA from 1 species
UACGUAGGGUGCAAGCGUUGUCCGGAAUUAUUGGGCGUAAAGGGUGCGUAGGUGGCGCGCUAAGUCAGGUGUGAAAUUUCGGAGCUUAACUCCGAAACUGCAUUUGAUACUGGCGUGCUUGAGGACUGGAGAGGAGACUGGAAUUCAUGGUGUAGCAGUGAAAUGCGUAGAGAUCAUGAGGAAGACCAGUGGCGAAGGCGGGUCUCUGGACAGUUCCUGACACUGAGGCACGAAGGCCAGGGGAGCAAACGGG